rnacentral:lncRNA from 1 species
UGCAGCGAAAUCUUAACCUCUUUAUAAAUUGGUAGCAUAUGGCUUUCUAAAAUCCAUGUAAAGUUAAAGCUGCAGCUUAACUUGUAAAUGCAAACUAAACAUCUUAUCCAGCGGAUGUGUGUACACUGCCCAAAAGAAGAUUCUGCAAUUACCUACUAACACUGAUUCAUUAAUACAAACUAUCAGCCUACCUGGGAGAAAAUGCAUUUCCAAAGACAUCUGCAAGCAUGUAGCAAAGACAUUUGUGAAAACAGAGGAGGAGCUUCCACAGUACAGUGAUUCCUAUGGGAAACACAGAUUUCUUCCUUUUUUAGGUAAGAAGUUAGCUUGUAACCGAGCCGCCACUGGCCAUACCACUGCUUUUCAGAUUUACAAGCUGAAUAAGCCAUCAGUUAAGUGGGUUUUUCCAGAACACAGAAGAAAGAAGGUUUUUGGGAGACAACAGGACUCAAGCUGCUCUUCUUUAAUGAGACCUCCCAGACUCAUCUGCAGUGACCUUCAUGGCAGGCCUCCCACAGAUUUCAGUCAGCUGGGUUGA